AUGUACCCAAGUACAUUCCGGUUCCGAGCGCUGGCCGCGCCCACCUGACGACUGCUCGCUACGUUUUGUUAGCC
rnacentral:sRNA from 1 species